rnacentral:lncRNA from 1 species
GUGCGGGGUUUGCGAUCUGGUAGGAACUGGGACCUAGAUCACCGAUAGAGGCCUGGUUUCAGGAAGUCGUCAAGAUGCGGACGCUUACGCAUUUAUGUCCUCUUACCGUGGGAACUGGACUCAGAGGUGAAAACUAGUAAAUAACGCCGGUCUAAUCCAAGUUCGAUUAACUCUACUUCAGACCCCUCCCCCCCCCCCCCCCCCCCUUAACACCGGUAGUGUUAAGGACAAAAGUCGCUUUGGGAUCACAAAAUUAAAGAAGAGGGAAAGGUUUCGGGGAAUGGUUCCCUGGAAGACUGUUGUCAGCGCAGUUUUUGAGGAUGAGCAAGAGUUAACCAGGAGAAACGGGAAAGCGAAGAUGGAGAGGACAGAACUGGCAGACAAAAGGAAAUAUGCUGGUUUGGGAACUGCUGGUUCUGAGUAGUAAUCAAAGUUGGGAAAGGGUGGGAAACAAUGAUGUGGCAUUCGGGAGCAGGUAGCCCAGAUCAUGAAAAGCCAUUUUAAGGAACUUGUAUUUUAAUACUGAAAUAAUUAGUAUAUCAAGGAUAUACAAAUCACGUGAUUUGAUCAAAUCUUAGAAAACUAACUUUAAAAAUGUGGAGACAGGACGGGGUAUGUACUACGAAAGAGAUAAGAGUAGAAGACAAGUCGGCGAAGACUUGGAAUCCUUACAAGAACCAAGCCGGUAAUGCCAAAGAGUAAAGUGAACCAGUUCCAAAAAACAACAGGAUAUGGCGGGAAUUCUAAACUGGAAAGCUCAGACCUCAAGGAGAAGGGAAGUCUCACCUUUGCUGUAAUUGAAUAUUGUCAAAUUGGCAUAUGAGCCUAGGGUUGCCGCAUAUUCUUAUUUGUCAAAAGAAGUUGGAACCUAAGCUGCGGUGUAGCUCAGUGACAGUGUGCUUACACAGCAUGUAUAAGGCUCUGCAAAAAUACAAAAAAAGCAACCGAAAUCUUAGGUACAAUAUCCAAGUCUUUAAAUGUUGUCAAUUUUUUUUGGGGGGGGGUAGCAACAAAUUUUUUAAAAAUUUCAACAUUGCACAGAUGAUACAAAAUUUGUCUGUAGGGCCAGGGCUGUGGCUGAGUGGUAGAGCACUUGCUUAGCACAUGUGAAGCACCACAUAAAAAUAAAUAAAAUAAAGGUAUUGUGUCCAUCUACAACUAAAAAAAAACAUAAAAAAAUUUUCUGGGGCUGGGAUUGUGGCUCAGUAGUAGACUGCUUGCCUGACG